rnacentral:rRNA from 1 species
GACGAACGCUGGCUGCGUGCUUAACACAUGCAAGUCGAACGCUGAAGCCCCAGCUUGCUGGGGUGGAUGAGUGGCGAACGGGUGAGUAACACGUGAGUAACCUGCCCCUGACUUCGGGAUAAGCCCGGGAAACUGGGUCUAAUACCGGAUACGACUAUCGGACGCAUGUCUGGUGGUGGAAAGUUUUUUCGGUUGGGGAUGGGCUCGCGGCCUAUCAGUUUGUUGGUGAGGUAAUGGCUCACCAAGACGACGACGGGUAGCCGGCCUGAGAGGGCGACCGGCCACACUGGGACGGAGACACGGCCCAGACUCCUACGGGAGGCAGCAGUGGGGAAUAUUGCACAAUGGGGGAAACCCUGAUGCAGCGACGCAGCGUGCGGGAUGACGGCCUUCGGGUUGUAAACCGCUUUCAGCAGGGAAGAAGCCUUCGGGUGACGGUACCUGCAGAAGAAGUACCGGCUAACUACGUG